rnacentral:rRNA from 1 species
UACGUAGGGGGCAAGCGUUGUCCGGAUUUAUUGGGCGUAAAGGGCUCGUAGGCGGCCAACUAAGUCCGACGUGAAAUCCCCAGGCUUAACCUGGGAACUGCGUCGGAUACUGGAUGGCUUGAAUUCGGGAGAGGGAUGCAGAAUUCCAGGUGUAGCGGUGAAAUGCGUAGAUAUCUGGAGGAACACCGGUGGCGAAGGCGGCAUCCUGGACCGGUAUUGACGCUGAGGCGCGAAAGCCAGGGGAGCAAACGGG